UCAAAAAUGAUGGUGUAAAUGAAGUGUUGUCCCAGUCAUUAACCACAGCAGUGGCUGCUGAGAUUAUUAUAUUAACCAUUUUUAAACUCAUUAAUUGAACCUCACUCCUUUCACUUUAUCCUCAACACACAGUAAUGAAACGGGAGAAUACUAACAUGGAGGCAGCAUCUAGAGGAAUAGCUUGUUAACAGUACAGAGGCUAAGAACUAACUAUCUCACAGCAUAUAUAAAGCAAAAAAAAUGUGUUGACAAAGCUACCAGUACCUUAUUUAGGAUACCAGAAUGUUAACUAAAAUGGUCAUCGAGAUGGCUGACAGCUGCGUCAACAACCAACAUCACCUGCACAGAUGCACAGACUUGUUUGUGCAUACUCCUACAUACUGUCAUCCUCCUAUACAUCGUGCACGCAUAUAGCCUGCAAAUCGGGAGAGAGAGAGAGAGAAAGAGAGAGAGAGUGAAGAGGGAACAUAUCUGUGGUCCUCAAUGCAAGAUGCAUGAUGAAGAUGUUACGAGCCACAGCUCCUCCUGCAGAACAGCCAGCAGACGCAUCUGGCCCUGAUCUCCAGCGCUCUUCUGGUCCCCGCCCACCGGCAGCGCCGCGAGCCCGACUCUCAACUGCACUGUUUAAAAUGAUUGUCCUUUCUCUGUUAGAUUAACAAUAAAAUAUCACAGCAUUGCAUGAGAUAAUCUGUAGAAUACCAUAG